CACGAAUUGCAACAACAGAACUAGCAUUAGAGACUCUAAAAUGAUGACGGAAGUCAACAAGUUGUCCCCAGCCAACAGACAUCACCUAAAUCAGGAAAUAAUUUUUUACCUCUUGGGAACAUAAGAAUUGAACACCUGCAUUAUAUGUGAGGGCAGAUGGACAUGGACGUGUAAAGCUGUAGAGAUUUAAAUGAGGAAGAAAAUUAUGAUUGCAAUUGAAGGGUUUAAAUCCAAAUUUGAGAUUAGAGAUUUUGAAUGUCAUUCUCAAGCAUAUUUAUCCAUUCAGACAGAAGGAUCAUUGAAUUCAGUAGUAACACAAGGCAAGUGAAACAGUGAUAAAGUAUAAUUGGUAUUAAAUGAACAAAUCCAGUAUCAGAUUUCUAAGUACAAGAACAUAAUUACUCUAUAAUUGAAUCAAACAGAUAAAGACCAAGAGCUUCAUGAUCCUUCAAUAGCAACCACACCCCUGUUUCCUCAUUGUCCAUAAUCCUUCAAUUUGAUGUUUCUCUUGCAAGCUCUCGUGCUUCUUCUCUUGACCAUCUUCUCAGGAUCAUCCACCAUGUGGACAACCUGCAUAAUCAACUUUCGAACAUUUUGAUUUAAUUCUUCUCCCUCUCAGGUUCCUUCUUGAUACUUAACUAAUACUUAACUGAUAUCUCUAAGUCAAAAGAAUGACACAAACGCCAAUGACAUGACCCAAAAGAAAAAUAAUAAGAAGGAUAUUAGUUUACCAGAUUUCAUGUUGACGACACAAUUGGCGAACAAGCAUUCGAGGUCUGAUUGACGAUUGUUGUACUCGAGGUUGCCAACGAAAACCGGUCUCGUCUUCAAAGGAAAAAAUUAGAGCAACGAUGAAUCAAUGCCCUAACCCUAACAACUCAAGAUUCUUGCUCUAUAAAGCAAACAAUAACAAAUUCUUGCUUGCUUCAAAAGAAAAGCUUAGAUUCUAAGUCAAUGGCUCUGUAUAGUAGAAUCGGAAACUACUUGUUUUUAAAACUUGAAAUGUGGUAUCACUCGUUCGAGAAGAAAUGAAAC
rnacentral:lncRNA from 1 species